rnacentral:rRNA from 1 species
GUUCCUACGGGACGCAGCAGUGGGGAAUAUUGCACAAUGGGGGAAACCCUGAUGCAGCGACCCCGCGUGAGUGAAGAAGGCUUUCGGGUUGUAAACUUCUUUUGACAGGGAAGAGCAGAAGACGGUACCUGUCGAAUAAGCCACGGCUAACUACGUGCCAGCAGCCGCGGUAAUACGUAGGUGGCAAGCGUUGUCCGGAUUUACUGGGUGUAAAGGGCGUGUAGCCGGGCUGACAAGUCAGAUGUGAAAUCCGGGGGCUCAACCCCCGAACUGCAUUUGAAACUGUUGGUCUUGGGUAUCGGAGG